rnacentral:lncRNA from 1 species
GGCCGCUCCGCCUGCCGCGCAGCCCCAGCGCCGGGGCCGCCUUGGAGCGGGUCGGGAAGGGGGCGGGGCCUGCGGCGUGUCGGCCAGUCGCGGCGCGGCCCGGAACUUUCCGCCAAUAGCAGGCGCGGGGCGGAGCGGGGGCGGGGCCGGAGCUCGGGCGCCGCCGGAGGACUAUCCCACGGUCCAAGCGCCUCGAGGGUUGGGGGGGGCCUUGGCGCGGAAGGGAGGCUCCUUGCCCGCCCCGCGCUGUGCGUCUCUCCUUCGCCGCGCCCUCACCCUGGCCUCGCCCCCCGCGCUGUCCCGAUCGGAGUCCUGGAGCCUCUGAUGGAGCCGAGGUCCGGUCCUGCUGACCAGAGGCCGGUGGAGCCCCAGAGGAGAGGGGUCAUGACUCCAGAGGCGGGGAAGGCCUGGCCUGGGGGCUGCGCCUUGGAGCGGGGCCAGGCCUCGGGUUUUGUUGCCGGAUGACCGACCCCGGGCCAGACGGGGCUCCUGGAGGGGCGUGAAUGGAGCAGCCACGGGCACCCCUGCAGGCCUGCAGCACGUGGAGACACAGGAGCUGGGAGGACACCCCUGGGCCACAGGAGCAGCCCCCACCAAGAUGAAACAAGCAGAAACAGGCGAUUCGCAAACACACUGUAGCCUCAGGCUGGAGCAGUGUGGGAUUCCCAGCAUCCGGGACUGCUGAGUUGGCCUGAUGGGAGGAAGUGGGCAGUGGCUGGCCAGGUGGACAGGAAGAGAAUGGGGGAGAGCAGACAGCCUGGGUCAAGGGCCUGAGGAAGGAGCUCUUGGCAGCCCAGUGAAACCCCAGGGCAUGGGUGGUGGGUGGGGACGACAGGUCAGAUCACAGAAGGCCUAAGGCACAAGCAAAGGGGUCCCACUACAUACUGAACCCCUUACGGACGACAGAAGCUUUAGCCGGGGACUGCAAGGACCAGCAUAGACUGUGCAGCCUGAAGAUGUGAACAUUCCGUCCCCUGCCCCCAAACCUCCUGCCACCCGGCGCUCGAAACUCAUGGUGGACAGAUGAGUUCACCAGUGGCAGUCGGACAGAUGAGGCCAGAUGGCUCAGUGGCAGUGGGAGGCUGGAUCCCACUGACCAGGCCCUCCCUCAACCCCAGGGCCCUCCCAGGCCAAACAGGAACAAGGCGCCUACUGGGCUCGGCCAGCCCCUUGCUCUGGGCGAGGUGCAGGUCAGAAGUAGCCAUCACAAUCCCCAAAAGGUGGAAGACUCCCAAAGGCCUGUCUGCAGCUGAGUGGACAAGCAAGUGCAGUGGGUCCAUUUUUUUUUUUUUUUUUGAGACGGAAUCUCGUUCUGUCGCCCAGGCUGGAGUGCAGUGGCUCGAUCUCGGCUCACUGCAACCUCUGCCUCCUGGGUUCAUGCCAUUCUCCUGCCUCAGCCUCCCGAGCAGCUGAGACUACAGGCGCCCGCCACCACACCCGGCUAAAUUUUUGUAUUUUUUCUUUUUUUAGUAGAGAGGGUGUUUCACCGUGUUAGCCAGGAUGGUCUCGAUCUCCUGACCUCGUGAUCUGCCCGCCUUGGCCUCCCAAAGUGCUGGGAUUACAGAUGUGAGCCACCGCGCCCGGCCUCUUUUUUUUUUUUUUUUUUUUUUUUUUUUUUGAGAUGGAGUUUCGCUCUUUGCCCAGUCUGGAGUGCAAUGGCGCGAUCUUGGCUCACUGCAACCUCCACCUCCUGGGUUCAAGCGAUUCUCCUGCGUCAGCCUCCCGAGCAGCUGGGAUUACAGGCAUGUGCCAUCAUGCCGGCUAAUUUUGUAUUUUUAGUAGAGACGAGGUUUCUCCAUGCUGGUCAGGCUGGUCUUGAACUCCCGACCUCAGGUGAUCCGCCCACCUCAGCCUCCCAAAGUGUUGGGAUUACAGGCAUGAGCCACGGCACCCCCUGGCGGUGGGUCCAUUAUUAAGCCAUAAAAAGGAAUGAAGUUCUGGUCCCUUGACACCCGCUACAGCCUGGAUGAGCCUGGAGGCUUAUGCGCUGAGCAAAAUAAGCCAGAGACAAAAGGACAAACACUGUUGGAUUCCACUUCUGUGAGUCACCUUAGAGUAGUCACGGUCAUGAGGACAGAAAGUGGAGCAGGG